AUGUGUACGGACAGUAGAGCCAUUAACAAGAUCACCGUAAGGUAUAGAUUCCCUAUUCCCCGUCUGGAUGAUAUGUUGGAUCAGCUUAGUGGAGCAAGAGUGUUCACAAAGCUAGAUUUGAGAAGUGGAUAUCAUCAAAUCCGUAUAAGACCCGGGGAUGAAUGGAAGACCGCCUUCAAGACAAAGGAAGGGUUGUUUGAAUGGCUAGUCAUGCCAUUUGGACUCUCAAAUGCACCAAGUACCUUUAUGCACUUAAUGAAUCAAGUCCUUAGACCCUUCUUAUCCCACUUUGUUGUGGUCUAUUUCGAUGACAUCUUGAUCUAUAGCAAGGAUGAGGAUGAACACUUUGAUCACAUUCGGAAGGUGCUAGAAGUACUAAGGGAAAAUGAGCUCUACGUCAACUUGAAGAAAUGUGUUUUCCUGCAAACACAACUUCUUUUCCUAGGAUUCGUCAUAACAUGUGACGGCAUUCGUGUUGAUGAUUCUAAGGUUGAAGCAAUCCGAGAAUGGCCAACUCCUAAGACCAUUUCUGAGGUAAGAAGCUUUCAUGGCCUUGCAACUUUCUAUAGGCGAUUUGUUAAGAAUUUCAGCACUAUCAUGGCACCAAUUACCGAGUGUUUGAAGAAAGGGAAGUUCCAAUGGGCAGAAGCAGCUGAAGCUAGCUUCAAUGAGAUUAAACAAAAGCUAUCACAAGCUCCUGUCUUGGUACUACCUGAUUUCAACAAGACUUUUGAGUUGGAGUGUGAUGCAAGUGGAGUAGGCAUUGGAGCUGUCCUGUCUCAAGAAAGGAAGCCCAUUGCUUUCUUUAGUGAGAAGUUAAGUGAAGCUAGACAGAAAUGGAGUACCUAUCAGCAAGAAUAA
rnacentral:rRNA from 1 species